GAAGCUCUCUCCAGUGCCAUUGCUACUGCCUCCAGUCCCAAGCUGUCCUCCCCAGCCACCCUUCAGCCUUGUCACCCUGUGCAGAACACAUGGCUCCGGGCAGUCAGACUCCAGCUGUGAAGAGACCUUCUCUGACCUGUUUUGGGACCGAAGCCAAAGCCUCUCCCCUCCAUCUUGGGUCGUGAAGGCAUUUACUGAGUAGCAGUGGAGAUCAGAGCAUGACAAGGGACCAGAGAA